CAAUAACAGUGACUCCAAAAUGGCCUGUUUUAGUCCUAUUGGGAGAAAGAGGAACAGGUUUCUAGUCCUACUGGGAGAAAGAGGAACAGGUUUCUAGUCCUACUGGGAGAAAGAGGAACAGGUUUCUAGUCCUACUGGGAGAAAGAGGAACAGGUUUCUAGUCCUACUGGGAGAAAGAGGAACAGGUUUCUAGUCCUACUGGGAGAAAGAGGCAUAACAGCUAUGGUUUCUAGUCCUACUGGAAGAAAGAGGAACAGGUUUCUAGUCCUACUGGGAGAAAGAGGAACAGGUUUCUAGUCCUACUGGGAGAAAGAGGAACAGGUUUCUAGUCCUACUGGGAGAAAGAGGAACAGGUUUCUAGUCCUACUGGGAGAAAGAGGAACAGGUUUCUAGUCCUACUGGGAGAAAGAGGAACAG